UACGGAGGAUCCGAGCGUCAUCCGGAUUUAUUGGGUUUAAAGGGUGCGUAGGCGGUUUGAUAAGUUAGAGGUGAAAUGUCGGGGCUCAACCCCGAAACUGCCUCUAAUACUGUUGGACUAGAGAAUAGUUGCGGUAGGCGGAAUGUAUGGUGUAGCGGUGAAAUGCUUAGAGAUCAUACAGAACACCGAUUGCGAAGGCAGCUUACCAAACUAUAUCUGACGUUGAGGCACGAAAGCGUGGGUAGCAAACAGG
rnacentral:rRNA from 1 species